rnacentral:lncRNA from 1 species
UACUGCUACAAGAAGUGGUGCUGCAUACAUAGACCUCUACUCUUGGAUGGGACUGAAAAUUGACAUCAGUGCUAAGUUCAUUUAAUAUAUGAUUUGAUCUGUUUAUUAUAUGAGUUAGGCCAAGUAAUCUAUUCGAUUCAAAGGUUAGGUUCAAAUCUGUAUUUUUAACCAACCUAGACUACCGAGUAAAUAAGUUGGGUUCGAGUUUAUAAAUGUUUAACCCAAUUUGUAUCUGACUUGAUCACUAUUCGGUUUGAUCUAACCCGAUCUUAUUGCCACUCUUAUCAAUCACUAUUUAACUAUCACCAUAUAAUUCACUUA